rnacentral:rRNA from 1 species
UACGGAGGGUGCAAGCGUUAUCCGGAUUCAUUGGGUUUAAAGGGUGCGUAGGCGGCCCGGUAAGUCAGUGGUGAAAGCCUGUUGCUUAACAACAGAACUGCCAUUGAUACUGCUGGGCUUGAGUACAGAUGCUGUGGGCGGAAUAUGACAUGUAGUGGUGAAAUACAUAGAGAUGUCAUAGAACACCGAUUGCGAAGGCAGCUCACAAAACUGUAACUGACGCUGAGGCACGAAAGUGCGGGGAUCAAACAGG